GACAGAGGAGCCAAGCGUUGUCCGGAUUGACUGGGCGUAAAGCGCACGCAGGCGGUCGCGCGCGUGGGGUGUGAAAACUGGCGGCUUAACUGCCAGAGGCCAUCCCAUACGGCGCAACUCGAGCCAUGCAGAGGUCCACGGAAUUCCAGGUGUAGCGGUGAAAUGCGUAGAUAUCUGGAGGAACACCGGUGGCGAAGGCGGGUCUCUGGGCCGAUACUGACGCUGAGGAGCGAAAGCGUGGGGAGCGAACAGG
rnacentral:rRNA from 1 species